AGGACGAACGCUGGCGGCGUGCUUAACACAUGCAAGUCGAGCGGAAAGGCCCUUCGGGGUACUCGAGCGGCGAACGGGUGAGUAACACGUGAGCAACCUGCCCUUAGCUCUGGGAUAGCUCCGGGAAACCGGAAUUAAUACCGGAUACGACCUAGGCCGACAUCGGCCAUGGUGGAAAGUUUUUCGGCUAGGGAUGGACUCGCGGCCUAUCAGCUAGUUGGUGGGGUAAAGGCCUACCAAGGCGACGACGGGUAG
rnacentral:rRNA from 1 species